GAAACCAAUAAUGAGUCCAACGCACAGCAGAAGCGGUUCCUACUGUACACCUGCCUCCUUCCCCUGCACUCCGUGACCUCGUGUACUCAUUAAUCCAAUGGACUGUCGGAUUAACCUUCUAAGGUGUGAGAAAACAAAUGAGCGAUUAAUAGGGUCUCCCUGGAGAGCGCCAACACAGCCGCAGCCAGGGCGGUUCCGGCCAGUCAAGACCAGUGCAGCUGCAGCAUUAUGCAGAAGUGGAACCCGUGACAGUCAGGCGACAUCUCUACAUUUUCCCAUCACGCCCCCUGCGAUGUACAACGCUGAGACACCACGACCACAAACUUCCUCUAUCUGUGACAGCAACCAAGAAGAGCGGCCAAACAACCAGGGACCAAGGCCCAACCUUUGGGCGGCUCUGCUUCCUGUGAUGAAAAUACCGGUGAAAAAAAACAAAAUCUGUGAGAAGGUCCAGCGAGUUUCUCCUUUUCAGCUGAAUGACGACAUUGAAAGAAAACACUGAAGCAACCUUCAGCCACUUUGAUGACCUUUUGAAAUGGAUCGUGGGGCUAACGUUUUCCAUCUUAUAAUGGUGAACAAACCAAAAGUGAAAUACAAAAUGAAUAUCCUGCACAUGAACAUUGACAACAUCUUUGUAAACAGCUCAGUGGUCCCUCAAUCCAAACAGGCCAAGCAUUUCCCACAAUUUCCCGAGCUUACAGUAACUGGAAGUGUGUGUGUGUGAUGCUUGACAAUGUGUUGUAUGUCACAUGACUUCCCAGCAGACAAUUAAACUGAAACGAAAGAGAAUCCAUGGGGUUAUCCAGUUCUAAUUUACCG
ensembl:lncRNA